rnacentral:rRNA from 1 species
CAGCGAAACGGGUUAAGAGAGACAAGAGGAUGUUGGUUAGAGUAGGAGAGCAGGGUGAGGUUUGGUCAGCGAUUUGUUGGGAUCGGGAAAGGGGAGCUAGGAGUGCCGGGGGAGAGGAGGAACAAGUAGUGGUGGCGAAGGAAGAUGGGGGGAGGUGGGACGGAAGGAAGAGAAGUAACAGCUCGGCUCCCGGAGCGGGUCCGCCGGCGGCGGCCCGAGCCGGGGCGGCGGAGGGCGGUGUUGACACGCGUGCCACUUGUUCCUAGAGACCCGACGGCGGUGGCCGGCCCCCUCUUGCCUACCUUCUCGUCUUCUUAGCGGGAGGCUGGUACAGCAACCGCUGGCUACUAUCUAUCGGGUUAGCUAGAUGGAGCAGAGUACAACUCUACUAGUUCUAUACCGUUUCGGGAAGUACCCUAAGUUCCCCUUCUACGUUGUAUACACCACGGAAUACAUUCGAUUCGGCCCAAUAACCUUGAUUAACAGGAAGUCCAAUCGUAGUGGAGUCUUAUAUUGUAGUAGAUACAACUUCACCACAUAAACACGAUGAGAAAUGGGUGGUACCACUCAACGACGAAACAAGGGUAGUUCCACUCUACAAAGAAGUAAUGGAAGGAACAGAGGAUAACCUAAUUUCCAGAUACUUGACUAGGUACGAUGUAAAGUAAGGGAUGAGAGAACACGAUCUUUGAAAACCAAGAGACAACCAACAACCCAAAGAGGUAUAUACGUAGAACAAUGUUGUUCCAACUUACGGAAAACAACGGAACGAGUAAAUCACAAACGCCUUUCUAGGUACCCUAUUACACAACCACGUCUAUCUGACGGGCAUACGUCUUGGAUAGGAAUCUAAAACAGACCUUAUUACAAAAGCACGAAUGUCAAGAACACCACUAAACACGACUUUUUAGAUGCCCGACUACAUAACCACACCAGUCGGGAUGGACACGUCUUAGAAACAAAUGUAAAACAGUUUUACAACGCAAGAACGAAUUAAAAGAGUACCACCAAACCAGGAUAUCUAUUUAGUACACACACACACACACAUACUACAUAACACAGACUACGUACAAAUACAUCAACAAGCUACAUACAGAUACAUAUAGAGAUAAAUUAUUUGGACAUAUUAAUAUAUACCAAUCUCGUCGUCUUAGUUUUGAUUAAUAACAGUACGAUCUUACCCAAGUUACCACAAACGGAGGACUCCAUAACUGUACAAAACGUUGUAAGAUAAGUUUUGUUCCACCCCUCCCGAGGCCUACCGUUGUACUCUCAUAUAGCUAUAACGAAAUUCGAACGAAGAAAGAAACAAACCAAGUGCUCAAGGUCUACGUACGUCACACGUAACCUGUUACAACGCCUCCCAAGUUAAAGAAUAAAAAGUCUAAAACGUCAUUGUCCCUACACAUAUUAUCUUAAUUGACUUAACCACGAAUGCCCAAAACCACGUACUGAAGAUGAACGAGUUAAUCAAUCGACUUGAUAAACAAAUCUCUAAAGUCACGCCUCACUAGGAGGUCCUUUACCGUUCUCUCAAUUUCAUGGUAUAAUCUGAUAAAAACACCGGACACCGAAAUCUCCGGCCCUUAACCUCGUGAACAUCCUUCGGUAAGCCCAAUAUCUAUAGUAUAACUCUGUUGUGAGACGGUUCGCCAUACAAACAAAGAUACAUGAAGACCCACGAUUAAGUGGUAGAACUAAAACCGACCCUCCACACUGUACCACACCGUAUAUCUCCAUUAAACCACAGGAGAGAGAAACGGAGAACGAAGGAGGUUGUGAGACCAAAACUAACACGACUACGACGUCUGUAAAAUUGAAACAUUCAUACAACAAUAUUAGUAUGAAUACAGAUCGGUUUAAGAUAUCCGACCUGGAAUAUUAAAAUAUUAGUAAUCUGGGUUAGAAACAUAGAUGAAACGGAGAACAUCGAACCAAUCGUUUUUUUAACACGAUUCCACAAUCACUACCAACAAGAUGUAGACUUCCGUUGAAAUAACGGGUAUUAGACGUAGGAGAAAAGAAACCUUUCUUUAUGAGUAAAACGAGAUGAUUUGACUUUUAAGGUGAACUUUAAUAAAUAAAAAUACUAUAUACCAGCACGUCGACAUUACACUAGUCUUUAGUCAAUCAUUACAAUGUGUAUUAAGUGAGAGAAUUCGUACAAAGACAACAUUACCAAUCAACAGUGUCACGUACAUAAACUCGGGUAGUAGUCCAAAGAUAACAACAAAUUUAAUUAAAAAAUCCUUUGAUAAACUAGAAGAUAUCCGGUAAACAAGAGAUAACAAAAAGAAAUCUUCAAAGAGGUACUACCAUGAAAGGUGGGCCUUCGGUCUUUUUCUUAGAUCCGGCCACUGGGACGAAAACAAGAUUACCCGUAGGGAAGUAGCUUACUUCGAAGUUGGACUCGUUCCCGUACGAACGUCUACUACAUAGACAAAUUACAAACAAUCUUCUCCGCUGGCGAACCAACUAAAACAAACGUGCAAGACAUUUUAUCUGAAUCGUUGUUUCGAAGCUGUUAAACAAGCGACAGUAGAGGAAAAGUUUGUUAUAUGGUACAAGACCAAGAAAUUAGACAUUACAUAUAAGAUACUGAUAGGUUUGAUAAUAAACAUGUGGUUGAGUUUUCAACACUUAGUUACUCGUGUAUAAGAUUC